GUGCUUGGGGUUUAUUCACUUUCAUGGCGAAUAAUCAUGUCGGCCAUAAAUUUCAGUGAAAUAAUAUAUAACCCUUAGUGUAUGGGCAUGCAGACCGUUUAGCAAGAAGCAAUUGGUCCCCACUCCCCUCCAUAUUUUGUUUGUACCAAUAUCGUUUGGAGUAAGACUUAGAAAUGGUAAAAAGAGAGAGGUUCGAACGCCAGAGUUCACUGUAUUAAGAGCCUUACACAAAAAAUGAAAUUGAGCAAAGAUUAAUCACGUGAGCUCUCUGGUCCGAGUUCUCAAUGGCUAUUACAAGGAGGAUCAACAUCGGACGGUUGGGAAUGAUUCGAAUUCUGAGAAAUCUACGGCUCUGAUUGAUCGUGACUUGCUUGGUGGUGGGUCUAACUCUUUUCUUCUGCAACCUCUAAGCUUGUGGUUGAUUCCCAGGAAUUGGACCUCGACUCGAAGGUCCCAAAUGGCUGGGAAAAGCGCCUAGACUUGAAGCAGUCAGGGAAAGUCUACCUACAAAGAUAUAGCACCCCAAAUUCACCUUCAAUCUCAGACAAGAAGCACCAAAUCAAUUCAACAGUUCCAAGACUUCAGGAUUUAAAUUUUCCACCAUCACCCUCGAAAAUCACAUUAAAUCUUUUUGAUGAAACUCCCCUGGAUUUAAAGUUGGUCUCAUCAUCAUCGUCGUUGAAUAAUUAUCAAAGCGUAUGCACUCUUGAUAAGGUGAAAUUAGCACUCGAAAGGGCAGAGAAAGAACCACUGAAGAGAGAGCAUCAUUUGGGAAAUCAUCAUCAUUGCCUUCAUAUUCAUCUUCAUCAUCUUCGAUUAGAGAAACCCAAGAAGAAGACUUUGAAGAUAAAUUAUUAUCAUCACCAAUGGCAGCAGGGUGUCCUGGUUGCUUAACUUAUGUAUUGAUAACAAAAAAUAAUCCAAAAUGUCCUAGGUGCAGUUCUGUUGUGCCGUUACCCCUGAUGAAGAAACCUAGAAUUGAUCUCAACAUAUCAAUCUGAAUGAUUAAAGAAUACUAUGAUUAUGGCUUAUAUCCACUAUUUUUAAUUUUGUAGAUGAUAGAUGAGAUUAGGUUUGGGGAAAUAGAUUUGUUAGUAAAAAAGAAUAUAUGUACAUCAUAAAGGGAUGGUUCUGGUAUUAGUAUAGUUGAUAGAAGUUUGAUUCAUUCAGAAUCUUUUAUCA